rnacentral:rRNA from 1 species
GCGUAAGCGCGCGCAGGCGGUCCUUUAAGUCUGAUGUGAAAGCCCACGGCUCAACCGUGGAGGGUCAUUGGAAACUGGGGGACUUGAGUGCCCAAGAGGAAAGUGGAAUUCCACGUGUAGCGGUGAAAUGCGUAGAGAUUUGGAGGAACACCAGUGGCGAAGGCGACUUUCUCGUCUGUAACUGACGCUGAGGCGCGAAAGCGUGGGGAGCGAACAGGAUUAAAUACCCUGGCCGUC